GUUGUAUAGUCAAGUAAUUAAGUGCAUGUGGUGGAUGCCUUGGCAGUCAGAGGCGAUGAAAGACGUGAUAGCCUGCGAAAAGCUCCGGGGAGGCGGCAAAUAUCCUUUGAUCCGGAGAUGUCUGAAUGGGGGAACCCACCUACUUUAAGGUAGGUAUUGCAACAUGAAUACAUAGUGUUGCAAGGCGAACGAGGGGAAGUGAAACAUCUCAGUACCCUUAGGAAAAGAAAUCAAUUGAGAUUCCCUCAGUAGCGGCGAGCGAACGGGGAUCAGCCCAUUAAGUUAUGUGUGUUUUAGUGGAACGCUCUGGGAAGUGCGAACGUAGAGGGUGAUAUUCCCGUACACGAAAGGGCACACAUAAUGAUGACGAGUAGGGCGAGGCACGUGAAACCUUGUCUGAAUAUGGGGGGACCAUCCUCCAAGGCUAAAUACUCCUGACUGACCGAUAGUGAACCAGUACCGUGAGGGAAAGGCGAAAAGAACCCCUGUGAGGGGAGUGAAAUAGAUCCUGAAACCGCAUGCAUACAAGCAGUGGGAGCACCUUCGUGGUGUGACUGCGUACCUUUUGUAUAAUGGGUCAGCGACUUAUAUUCAGUAGCGAGGUUAACCGUAUAGGGGAGCCGUAGAGAAAUCGAGUCUUAAUAGGGCGUUUAGUUGCUGGGUAUAGACCCGAAACCAGGCGAUCUAUCCAUGAGCAGGUUGAAGGUUGGGUAACACUAACUGGAGGACCGAACCCACUGUCGUUGAAAAGCCAGGGGAUGACUUGUGGAUAGGGGUGAAAGGCUAAUCAAGCCUGGUGAUAGCUGGUUCUCCCCGAAAGCUAUUUAGGUAGCGCCUCGGACGAAUACCAUAGGGGGUAGAGCACUGUUUCGGCUAGGGGGUCAUCCCGACUUACCAAACCGAUGCAAACUCCGAAUACCUAUGAGUACUAUCCGGGAGACAGACUGCGGGUGCUAACGUCCGUAGUCAAGAGGAAAACAAUCCAGACCGCCAGCUAAGGCCCCAAAAUCAUAGUUAAGUGGGAAACGAUGUGGGAAGGCAUAGACAGCUAGGAGGUUGGCUUAGAAGCAGCCACCCUUUAAAGAAAGCGUAAUAGCUCACUAGUCGAGUCGGCCUGCGCGGAAGAUGUAACGGGGCUAAAACUAUGUGCCGAAGCUGCGGAUGUAUACUUUGUAUACGUGGUAGGGGAGCGUUCUGUAAGCCGAUGAAGGUGUGUUGAGAAGCAUGCUGGAGGUAUCAGAAGUGCGAAUGCUGACGUGAGUAACGACAAAACGGGUGAAAAACCCGUUCGCCGAAAGACCAAGGGUUCCAGUCCAACGUUAAUCGGGGCUGGGUGAGUCGACCCCUAAGGCGAGGCCGAAAGGCGUAGUCGAUGGGAAAAUGGUUAAUAUUCCAUUACUUCUGUGUAAUGCGAUGAGAGGACGGAGAAGGCUAAAUCAGCCUGGCGUUGGUUGUCCAGGUGAAAGGAUGUAGGCAUGUAUCUUAGGCAAAUCCGGGGUACUCUAUGCUGAGAUCUGAUAGCAAGCUGUACUUGUACAGCGAAGUGAUUGAUGCCAUGCUUCCAGGAAAAGUCUCUAAGCUUCAGUUACACAGGAAUCGUACCCGAAACCGACACAGGUGGUCAGGUCGAGUAGACCAAGGCGCUUGAGAGAACUCUGCUGAAGGAACUAGGCAAAAUGGUACCGUAACUUCGGGAGAAGGUACGCUGUUGUUGGUGAUGGAACUCGCUUCCUGAGCUGACGACAGCCGCAGAAACCAGGCCGCUGCAACUGUUUAUUAAAAACAUAGCACUCUGCAAACACGAAAGUGGACGUAUAGGGUGUGAUGCCUGCCCGGUGCUGGAAGGUUAAUUGAUGGGGUUAGCGUAAGCGAAGCUCUUGAUCGAAGCCCCAGUAAACGGCGGCCGUAACUAUAACGGUCCUAAGGUAGCGAAAUUCCUUGUCGGGUAAGUUCCGACCUGCACGAAUGGCAUAAUGAUGGCGGCGCUGUCUCCAGCAGAGGCUCAGUGAAAUCGAAAUCGCUGUGAAGAUGCAGUGUACCCGCGGCUAGACGGAAAGACCCCGUGAACCUUUACUGCAGCUUGACACUGAACUUUGACCUUACUUGUGUAGGAUAGGUGGGAGGCUUUGAAGCUGGAACGCUAGUUCCAGUGGAGCCGUCCUUGAAAUACCACCCUGGUAAUGUUGAGGUUCUAACUCUGUCCCGUGAUCCGGGACGAGGACCGUGUCUGGUGGGUAGUUUGACUGGGGCGGUCUCCUCCUAAAGAGUAACGGAGGAGUACGAAGGUGCGCUCAGCGUGGUCGGAAAUCACGCGUAGAGUAUAAAGGCAAAAGCGCGCUUAACUGCGAGACCCACAAGUCGAGCAGGUACGAAAGUAGGUCUUAGUGAUCCGGUGGUUCUGUAUGGAAGGGCCAUCGCUCAACGGAUAAAAGGUACUCUGGGGAUAACAGGCUGAUACCGCCCAAGAGUUCAUAUCGACGGCGGUGUUUGGCACCUCGAUGUCGGCUCAUCUCAUCCUGGGGCUGAAGCAGGUCCCAAGGGUAUGGCUGUUCGCCAUUUAAAGAGGUACGCGAGCUGGGUUUAGAACGUCGUGAGACAGUUCGGUCCCUAUCUACCGUGGGCGCUGGAAAUUUGAGAGGAUCUGCUCCUAGUACGAGAGGACCAGAGUGGACGAACCUCUGGUGUACCGGUUGUGACGCCAGUCGCAUCGCCGGGUAGCUAUGUUCGGAAGGGAUAACCGCUGAAAGCAUCUAAGCGGGAAGCCUACCUCAAGAUAAGAUUUCCCUAGGACUUUAUGUCCUCUAAAGAGCCGUUCGAGACUAGGACGUUGAUAGGUUGGAUGUGGAAGCAUAGUGAUAUGUGAAGCUGACCAAUACUAAUUGCUCGUGAGGCUUGACUAUACAACACCCAAGCAGUUG
rnacentral:rRNA from 1 species